CUCAGUUCGGACUCCUUCUGCUGAGUUGAUCGUGCAGACCGCAUUUUUCUCUGCUUGUUCCUUCUGCACCUUGUCUCCACAUGCUGCAAGGUAUCAUUUUUACUUGCCUUAUCUGUCCUCCAAGCAGAUGUGGCAGCUUCUUUGAAAGUACAGCAGCAGUGGAAGACGAGUACUCGAGAGCAGUGCUAGAUAGGCAAUCAGGGAAGGGUUCCAAGCAGUCGGUUCCUUAC
rnacentral:lncRNA from 1 species